GCCCCUGUGGUGGAACUGGUAGACGCGCCGCACUCAAAAUGCGGUUCCUAACGGAGUGCCCGUUCGAGUCGGGCCAGGGGCACCA
rnacentral:tRNA from 1 species